rnacentral:rRNA from 1 species
GAGUUUGAUCCUGGCUCAGAUUGAACGCUGGCGGCAGGCUUAACACAUGCAAGUCGAGCGGAGUGAUGGUGCUUGCACUAUCACUUAGCGGCGGACGGGUGAGUAAUGCUUAGGAAUCUGCCUAUUAGUGGGGGACAACAUUUCGAAAGGAAUGCUAAUACCGCAUACGCCCUAAGGGGGAAAGCAGGGGAUCUUCGGACCUUGCGCUAAUAGAUGAGCCUAAGUCAGAUUAGCUAGUUGGUAGGGUAAAGGCCUACCAAGGCGACGAUCUGUAGCGGGUCUGAGAGGAUGAUCCGCCACACUGGGACUGAGACACGGCCCAGACUCCUACGGGAGGCAGCAGUGGGGAAUAUUGGACAAUGGGGGAAACCCUGAUCCAGCCAUGCCGCGUGUGUGAAGAAGGCCUUUUGGUUGUAAAGCACUUUAAGCGAGGAGGAGGCUACUUAGAAUAAUACUCUAAGAUAGUGGACGUUACUCGCAGAAUAAGCACCGGCUAACUCUGUGCCAGCAGCCGCGGUAAUACAGAGGGUGCGAGCGUUAAUCGGAUUUACUGGGCGUAAAGCGUACGUAGGUGGUCUUUUAAGUCGGAUGUGAAAUCCCUGAGCUUAACUUAGGAAUUGCAUUCGAUACUGGGAGACUAGAGUAUGGGAGAGGAUGGUAGAAUCCCAGGUGUAGCGGUGAAAUGCGUAGAGAUCUGGAGGAAUACCGAUGGCGAAGGCAGCCAUCUGGCCUAAUACUGACACUGAGGUACGAAAGCAUGGGGAGCAAACAGGAUUAGAUACCCUGGUAGUCCAUGCCGUAAACGAUGUCUACUAGCCGUUGGGGUCUUUGAGACUUUAGUGGCGCAGCUAACGCGAUAAGUAGACCGCCUGGGGGAGUACGGUCGCAAGACUAAAACUCAAAUGAAUUGAC